CCUACGGGGGGCAGCAGUGAGGAAUAUUGGUCAAUGGACGAGAGUCUGAACCAGCCAAGUAGCGUGAAGGAUGACUGCCCUAUGGGUUGUAAACUUCUUUUAUAUGGGAAUAAAAUGUUCCACGUGUGGGAUUUUGUAUGUACCAUAUGAAUAAGGAUCGGCUAACUCCGUGCCAGCAGCCGCGGUAAUACGGAGGAUCCGAGCGUUAUCCGGAUUUAUUGGGUUUAAAGGGAGCGUAGGUGGAUUAUUAAGUCAGUUGUGAAAGUUUGCGGCUCAACCGUAAAAUUGCAGUUGAAACUGGCAGUCUUGAGUACAGUAGAGGUGGGCGGAAUUCGUGGUGUAGCGGUGAAAUGCUUAGAUAUCACGAAGAACUCCGAUUGCGAAGGCAGUUCACUGGACUGCAACUGACACUGAGGCUCGAAAGUGUGGGUAUCAAACAGGAUUAGAUACCCUUGUAGUC
rnacentral:rRNA from 1 species